rnacentral:lncRNA from 1 species
GAGAAAAUGAGAAUAAAACAAUAGUAGCUUUAGAGUGGUAUUAACCAAGGCUAUUUUAUCAAGUAGAGUGAUAUUGUAUGCUGCCUCUUGGCAUACAUUUUGGUGUUUAUCAAUUCAUAGACCAGUGUUUUUCAUACACGUUCUGAAAUUAAUUCGUUAAGUUUCUGCCCCCUACCCCUUACAGAAACAGAAUAGAACAGAAAGUUUCAUGAAUGUAUCACCUGAUAUAGUUUUUUUAAAACUUCUGUUUCAAGGGUAGGCAUUGGUACUGGAUUGGACAGAUGUUCUUGUAAUGAGUAACUGGAAAGCUGUGUGGAACUCAGGUCUUAUAAAUCCAUGUUGCCAAACUGAUGUCAGCUACAAAAGCUACAAAAGCCUGUAGAUAGCCAUCACAAGUAUUAUCAAAUCAGUGGUCUUCUUUCUGAUGGUAGGGAAUAGUUAAUUAGCUAUGAAACCUAUGUUUUUGUUGUUUUAUUAUUUUGUGAGUAUGUGUGUAUUGUUUGUUUGCCCUGGUAAACAUGUAAAGGUUUAUAAUUAAGAAUUUACAAUAAUCCAGCCAGGCACAUGCCAUAAUC